UAAUGGAUAUGUACACAUACAUGCUCAUUUGUGAUUAAUUCCAGGACUAGAACAUUACUCUAAAUCAACCUCAACCCAGUUCCACACCUCUGUCUCGUCCAAUGGAAUCACAGGACUCUUUUUCUAAUUAACUUUGGGUUAAUUGUCUCCAAGGACACACAGCUUGCUGUUAUGUACUCUGCAUGAAAUAGUGAGGAUAUUUUGCCAUGGAGAUGCUGGUCAUUGGUUGUGACUUUGCAUUGAUGGCAGCAGUGGCUCGUUUAGAAUUAAUUACUAACAAGAGGGGAGAGCAGAUUUGCCCAGAUGCUUUUUAAUUACACAGAAAUGUAAAUGAUGAUCGUCAUAGUGCCAUGAUGUUGGGGAGGCUGUGAUGUGUGUAAAGCCUGAGACACACUGCAUGGUUUUUGGCUGUCCCAAACACAAGAUUGGCAUCGGGAAACAAUCAUGGCAUUUUCUGAGAAAAGAGAGUGGAUUUUCUCUUCCUUUGGAGCACUUCUGUUUGUCAAAAGACCUUGAAAGAGCAAACAUAAACAGCGACCAAUCGAUUCUGACCUUUGCUGUCAGCCACUUUCGUCCCAAUUUUUAUUAUUAGUAUUAUAUCUUUUCUUCUUUUUUUUUUUUUUGUCUUUAUGGCAGGGGGACAAAGAAAUAUUUCUAUAUCUGCUAAAAAUAUCCACUAAAAAUGCAGAUAAAGUGGCUAUGAUUUAUCAAGCACCAUGAAGAAGUGCUGUCUCAGUGGGAAAUGCUAACAAUCUGUGGUUAGCAUCCCGCUAAGUGCUAAUUAUUACAGAUAUGGAGAUACUGUGAUGCCUAUUAAGGGUCUGAUUCAUCAUUCAUAGUUUCUGGUUACAAUGUUGGAGGUUUGUAAACCAGAAUGUCUGUGAGAAUAAAAUGUCACCUAUUGGUUGUGAUUUUUUGCACUUCUGCUAAAUUGAUUUAUUGUAAAUAAGUUGUGUGGGUUUCAUGUCUAAUAGACUUUACUGACUUGGUACUUAUACUUAAUGCUUAUAUUUAUUUUGUUCUGUUAAUUGGAAUUAUUAUGUGUUUGCUAGUUUCAUGUGAGUGGUCUGGCAUUUCCUUUGCAGGAUUAAAAACAUUUUUACCUUACCUUACCUUAACUUAACUUAAACAGAGUAUAAAAGUGUUAAAUGAAGCGAAAUAAUAUUCUGUUAUUGAAAGCACAAAGAUGAUUGAAAUUAGCAACAUAUAUAUAUAUAUAUAUAUAUAUAUAUAUAUAUAUAUAUAUAUAUAUACAUAGUUAUUUAUGAAUGAUGGUGGUCGCUGCAAUUUGCUGCAAGUCUGCAGACCUGUCUCCUGUGUUUAUAGUCUGCCAGGCUUUCUUACCUACUGUGCACUACAAUAUAACUUUUCACUACUAGGUUUGAUGUUAAAAGCAUAUUUAUUUCAAACAGCCAUCACCAAGAAUGCCAUUAGCAGCAAGAGACAGAGAGAAAGAGAGGAAAGCUAACAGGACAGUCCCUUUGUGACCUUUGUGAUGAAGUUCCUUCAGUCAAAUAAAAUGUCCAUAAAAUUUGAUUAUUCAGACCCAGUUUGUAAUAGUUUGCCUGUAUAACGUAACUGCACUUUAUAUUUUUUUUUUUGGUGUAGUAUGCACUGUAAAGUCAAGGUUGGGUAGCAUAUGCCAGCCUUCUUUUUCUUUAUUUCUCCAUUGUUAGCUAUUCAGAAGAAGUGGUAUGUUGUUGCCGUGGACAUGCUUGCGUAAUGCAGGCUGCAUAUGUCAGUCAAGCAGCUGUCAUUGAAAUAAAUAAGAAUGCUAAUGUUGUGCUCUCUCCAGGUACGAUAGACUGUAUCACAAUACAAACAAACGUAAGACCCCCAAUACACAUCAUAUUCCAACCAACUAUCUAUGUCUCUUGAAAUGUUUUUUUUUUGUUUUUUUUUGCCUCUAUUAAAUGAUAUUUCCUAAUAAGAAUAAUUAAAGUAAAAAUAUCACUUAGCUGAUAGAAAAUAUAAACAGAAGGGUGAAGGAAUUCAUAGACAAAUUUUUUCAACAGUUUCAUUGUCCCUUUUCAUUUAUUAAUCUCUAAAUAAGCAUUAAGCAUUAAAAAUGGUUGCUUUCAUACUUGAAAAGAUUUUAUGUGCAUACUUCAUUAAAGCAGUUAGGCAUGCUGUGUAAAACUGAUAACGUAUUUGUGAAUUCUUUAUAUUGGUUUUUCUUUAUUUUGUCCAUUUACAAAGGUAAACUUUUUAUCUCAAAUAAAACAGAGCACUAGUAAUGAAUGAAAGCAGUUUGUACUCAGCUGCCUUAAACAUGAAAAACAGAAAAAGACACUCUCUAAACACUUUAAAGAGUUCUGAUUCUGAAUAUGUGCAAGACUAUAUCUUUUGUCUUUUAAGACCUUUCCCAUAUUUCAAAGAAUGAAUUACAGUACAUAUUAU
ensembl:lncRNA